UACCAGCACCCCGAGUGGUCGGGACGAUUAUUGGGCCUAAAGCAUCCGUAGCCGGUCCUGCAAGUCUUCCGUUAAAUCCAGCUGCUCAACAGAUGGGCUGCGGGGGAUACUACAUGGCUAGGAGGCGGGAGAGGCAAGCGGUACUUUAUGGGUAGGGGUAAAAUCCGUUGAUCCAUAGAAGACCACCAGUGGCGAAGGCGGCUUGCCAGAACGCGCUCGACGGUGAGGGAUGAAAGCUGGGGGAGCAACCGGG
rnacentral:rRNA from 1 species